CUUCCUGCUUUACAUUUCUAGCUUCCUCAUUAUGUAGCACCAUUGGAGCGUUGCUGAGUUGCUCAUGUUCUACUCUUCCACCUUCAUCAUCAGGUUGCAGCAUUGCUGUGUCACUGAGUUGCUCCUGUUCCACUUUUGUAGCUUCGCCAUCAGGUUGCAGCAUUGCAGUGUCACCGGUCGGUUCAUGUUUGGAUGGCCAAGCGUCUUCAUCAGGUUGCAGCAUUGCAGUGUCACCGGUCGGUUCAUGUUCGAUUGGCCAAGCUUCAUCAGGUUGUAUCAUUUCAGUGUUGGUCAAUGGAUCUUCUGUUGUUAC
rnacentral:lncRNA from 1 species